UCUCCAUCCUCUCCUGUUAGAGACCAGCAGUAUCCUAGUAUCACCUUGAAUCUGAUACCAACUGUUGAAGGACCGUCUUUACUUGUGUGGACCUGAGGAAAAUCCGCGAUGGAUCAUUCUCAAGGACAGUAACCAUCAGGCCAUAAAUCCGGGCUUGAUCCUUAAUACCGCAUGCCCCCCUUCUAGGGAAGGAGGCAUGUGUGAUGCCCUAAGGGCUGCAUGCAAACCUGUG
rnacentral:lncRNA from 1 species